GAUGAACGCUGGCGGCGUGCUUAACACAUGCAAGUCGAACGAAGCACCUUGAUUUGAUUCUUCGGAUGAAGAUCUUGGUGACUGAGUGGCGGACGGGUGAGUAACGCGUGGGUAACCUGCCUCAUACAGGGGGAUAACAGUUAGAAAUGGCUGCUAAUACCGCAUAAGACCACAGUACCGCAUGGUACAGGGGUAAAAACUCCGGUGGUAUGAGAUGGACCCGCGUCUGAUUAGGUAGUUGGUGGGGUAACGGCCUACCAAGCCGACGAUCAGUAGCCGACCUGAGAGGGUGACCGGCCACAUUGGGACUGAGACACGGCCCAAACUCCUACGGGAGGCAGCAGUGGGGAAUAUUGCACAAUGGGGGAAACCCUGAUGCAGCGACGCCGCGUGAGCGAUGAAGUAUUUCGGUAUGUAAAGCUCUAUCAGCAGGGAAGAAAAUGACGGUACCUGACUAAGAAGCACCGGCUAAAUACGUGCCAGCAGCCGCGGUAAUACGUAUGGUGCAAGCGUUAUCCGGAUUUACUGGGUGUAAAGGGAGCGUAGACGGAGUGGCAAGUCUGAUGUGAAAACCCGGGGCUCAACCCCGGGACUGCAUUGGAAACUGUCAAUCUAGAGUACCGGAGAGGUAAGCGGAAUUCCUAGUGUAGCGGUGAAAUGCGUAGAGAUUAGGAGGAACACCAGUGGCGAAGGCGGCUUACUGGACGGUAACUGACGUUGAGGCUCGAAAGCGUGGGGAGCAAACAGGAUUAGAUACCCUGGUAGUCCACGCCGUAAACG
rnacentral:rRNA from 1 species